ACUAAGUUGACCGCCUGGGGAGUACGGCCGCAAGGUUAAAACUCAAAUGAAUUGACGGGGGCCCGCACAAGCGGUGGAGCAUGUGGUUUAAUUCGAUGCAACGCGAAGAACCUUACCAUCCCUUGACAUCCAGUGAACUUUCUAGAGAUAGAUUGGUGCCUUCGGGAACACUGAGACAGGUGCUGCAUGGCUGUCGUCAGCUCGUGUUGUGAGAUGUUGGGUUAAGUCCCGCAACGAGCGCAACCCUUAUCCUUAGUUGCCAGCGAUUCGGUCGGGAACUCUGGGGAGACUGCCGGUGAUAAACCGGAGGAAGGUGGGGACGACGUCAAGUCAUCAUGGCCCUUACGGGAUGGGCUACACACGUGCUACAAUGGCGCGUACAAAGGGCAGCGAACCUGCGAGGGUAAGCGAAUCUCAUAAAGCGCGUCGUAGUCCGGAUUGGAGUCUGCAACUCGACUCCAUGAAGUCGGAAUCGCUAGUAAUCGUGGAUCAGAAUGCCACGGUGAAUACGUUCCCGGGCCUUGUACACACCGCCCGUCACACCAUGGGAGUGGGCUGCACCAGAAGUGGUUAGUUUAACCUUCGGGAGAACGAUCACCACGGUGUGGUUCAUGACUGGGGUGAAGUCGUAACAAGGUAGCCGUAGGGGAACCUGCGGCUG
rnacentral:rRNA from 1 species